GAAAACCGACUGUAUUGAUUCUUGAUAUUAAGCUUGGAGUCAUUCGGAGAUCAAUCAAAGGUUGACGAAAUGAAAGAAACUAGUUUGUAUAGUUGCAGUAAAAAAGGUUAAGCCUCAACUGUCUGUUGUAUGUUGGCCUGCCAUAUAACAGCAGUAACUCACGUGUGUUUGAUGCUAUUGGAUUUUCUCACUCCAAAACCUAAUUCAAAAGGUGAGAUUUAUAAGCAACACCCAACCCUUUCUAUUCUAUGAUGUGUGCUAGAUAACCCAACGAUGUGUGAUUGAUAACCCAACAGAUCCUUCCACUCUUCGAUAUAAAAGUUGAACCAGAGUCUGUGGAUCCAUUAGACAGGACGGCUCGCUUAAGCACACGAUACACAAAUACAUCAAAAGACAAGACUAAGGCGAGCAAAAGUUCGAUCCCAUAAAGACCAGCAGUAUCUACACCUCAUACCUAAACCCACAAAGCCACGACUACCUUAUUCUCUUCCUAUUCAACCCUCUCACUACCAGCCACCACAUGAACACCUUCCUACUUCACCAUGCAUAUCUUGAUAACC
rnacentral:lncRNA from 1 species